rnacentral:rRNA from 1 species
GACGUAGGGCGCGAGCGUUGUCCGGAUUUAUUGGGCGUAAAGAGCUCGUAGGCGGUGUGUCGCGUCGGCCGUGAAAACCUGCAGCUUAACUGUGGGCUUGCGGUCGAUACGGGCAUCACUGGAGUUCGGCAGGGGAGACUGGAAUUCCUGGUGUAGCGGUGAAAUGCGCAGAUAUCAGGAAGAACACCCGUGGCUAAGGCGGCUCUCUAGUACGGUACUGACGCUGAGACGCGAAAGCGUAGGGGAGCGAA